CCUACGGGUGGCUGCAGUGGGGAAUAUUGCACAAUGGGGGAAACCCUGAUGCAGCGACGCCGCGUGAGUGAAGAAGUAUCUCGGUAUGUACACCUCUGUCAGUGGGGACGAUAAUGACGGUACCCACGGAGGAAGCCACGGCUAACUACGUGCCAGCAGCCGCGGUAAUACGUAGGUGGCAAGCGUUGUCCGGAAUUACUGGGUGUAAAGGGAGCGUAGGCGGGAUGUCAAGUCAGAAGUGAAAAUUAUGGGCUCAACUCAUAACCUGCUUUUGAAACUGAUAUUCUUGAGUGAAGUAGAGGCAAGCGGAAUUCCUAGGGUAGCGGUGAAAUGCGUAGAUAUUAGGAGGAACACCAGUGGCGAAGGCGGCUUGCUGGGCUUUUACUGACGCUGAGGCUCGAAAGCGUGGGGAGCAAACAGGAUUAGAUACCCCUGUAGUC
rnacentral:rRNA from 1 species